UCUAUAUCUGUUGUAUUAGUGGCAAUUCUCCAGGGCAUUUUUUACCUCUGGACCAACCUUUUACCAUAUAUUGGAAGGCAUGGACUGAAGUUGUGGCAGGGGCUACAGACCUAUAAAAGGGAUUCCCCCCUUUCCCUACUUACCUUUGUUGGUCAGACGAAUAGACUGUUCGAGGUCAGCAUUUGCAUGAGAUCCACUUCCAGGUCAUACAAGACACCAUUUUGGUUUCACCUUUGCUCCAUGAGGUCUCCUACUCCAAGCUGUGUCCAGGAAUGCUGCAUCAGGGCUUUCCGUUAAUCCAGUGGCUUUCUCUCCGGUCAGCAUCGCAUUUGGUGUCUCAGGGACUCUCAAACUGUAAGUUGACCCACCUGUCACGCCAGGAUUAGUUCCCACGGCGUUCAGCACAGCACGGGUCCUCACUUUACGGUUUCCUUUAGUUUUGCAUGGUUAUUUUGUUACCUUAUACUCACCUAGCUGUUCAUGUAAAAUCUGUUGUUUAAAAUCUGUUUUGGUUAAAAUCUGUUCGGUUAAAACUACAAACGAAAUACAAUUUUUUGCCUACACACUGACCCCUACCGGUCUUUUGGUGUACUACAGGCUUCUUAGACAUUAUCGCAUUUCAUGUACAAACCAACGAACCACUGCAUUUGAGCCUACACACUGACCCCUACCGGUCUUUUGGUGUACUACAGGCUUCUUAGACAUUAUCGCAUUUCAUGUACAAACCAACGAACCACUGCAUUUGAGCCUACACACUGACCCCUACCGGUCAUUCGGUCAGACAUUA